UACGUAGGGAGCAAGCGUUGUUCGGAUUUACUGGGCGUAAAGGGCGCGUAGGCGGCCAGUGCAAGUCAGUUGUGAAAUCUCCGAGCUUAACUCGGAAAGGUCAACUGAUACUGCUCGGCUAGAGUGCGGAAGGGGCAACUGGAAUUCUUGGUGUAGCGGUGAAAUGCGUAGAUAUCAAGAGGAACACCUGCGGCGAAGGCGGGUUGCUGGGCCGACACUGACGCUGAGGCGCGAAAGCUAGGGGAGCGAACGGG
rnacentral:rRNA from 1 species